AUUGGUGACUAUAGCGAAGUGGAAUCACCUGUUCCCAUUCCGAACACAGUAGUUAAGCACUUCAGCGCUGAAAAUAGUGUAAGCGAAGAUAGGACGUUGCCAAUA
rnacentral:rRNA from 1 species